UCCCUGGAGGAAUAGUGGUUAGGCCACAGCGCUCUCACUGCUGCAGCCCGGGUUCGAUUCCCGGCCAGAGAC